UUAGCGUAAUUGCCAUUUUCUCCAUUGCUGGAGAGGAGAGGGAGGAUGAGAAAAAGGGGUUUUGAAGAUUGAUUUGUUGGUUGGGUUUUUAUCUGGGCGUAUCGCCAUCGGCUUAUCUUCCAGAUGAGACAAAAACACAAACAGUUGGUAGACGAGGAGGACAGCAGAUAGCUAUGCUAGCCAUGGCAGCAGUAGCAGUCAGGGAUUUUGCAGGAACAGCUACAAGCGCAACAGUCAAUGGAAUCAUGGAUGACCUGCAGUGCUCUUCUCGGCAACACUGCUUCAAGUGUAAUAGUAAUACCCCCAUUCUUAGCCGGCAACACUGCAUCGGCAUGGGCGUCGGCCUUCAGUUGAUCUCCCACCUGAAAACACCAAACCGCCAAAACAACAACCACAAUAAGUGUGCCCAACGCCACUCCGCUUUUCGCCAUCUAACUACUAAUAAUGCUAAGUCAGAUCCUUUUUGCUCCAAGCUGGUGUAUAAAAUCUAGCCAUGAGGGAUUCAAAUAUAUAGAGAGAGAUACACGGGGUGAGAGAGUUAGCUAGAUUGCGAUAAAUAUCAUAAUUGAGGGAUACGAUACGAAUUGUUGGCACUUUGUGGGAUUUUCACAUCAGAUGGUGGAAAUUUUAUUAUUAUUUUUUUUGUUUGGACCAAAGAAAAAUGUCAGAAGAAUUUAAUAUGUAAGACAGCAGCAGGCAUCACGAAUAAUUUUCUAAUGAAAGAAUUAAAAUAUGAAGAUAAUGCAGCUACUUGAAUGAGUUAAAAA